rnacentral:rRNA from 1 species
CACGUAGGAGGCGAGCGUUGUCCGGAAUCAUUGGACGUAAAGAGCGCGCAGGCGGCUUGGCAAGUCGGGUGUGAAAUCCCGGGGCUCAACCCCGUGACUGCAUUCGAUACUGUCAGGCUAGAGGUAGGUAGGGGAGAUCGGAAUUCCUGGUGUAGCGGUGAAAUGCGCAGAUAUCAGGAGGAACACCGGUGGCGAAGGCGGAUCUCUGGGCCUUACCUGACACUCAGGCGCGAAAGCUAGGGGAGCGAACAGG